UAUUUUCUACCUCAGUGGUAAAGGAUCUGCCUGCAGUGCAGGCGAUUCAGGUUUGAUCCCUGGGGCAAGAA
rnacentral:tRNA from 1 species